rnacentral:rRNA from 1 species
GACGAACGCUGGCGGCGUGCUUAGCACAUGCAAGUCGAACGGAAAGGCCCUGCUUUUGUGGGGUGCUCGAGUGGCGAACGGGUGAGUAACACGUGAGUAACCUGCCCUUGACUUUGGGAUAACUUCAGGAAACUGGGGCUAAUACCGGAUAGGAGCUCCUGCUGCAUGGUGGGGGUUGGAAAGUUUCGGCGGUUGGGGAUGGACUCGCGGCUUAUCAGCUUGUUGGUGGGGUAGUGGCUUACCAAGGCUUUGACGGGUAGCCGGCCUGAGAGGGUGACCGGCCACAUUGGGACUGAGAUACGGCCCAGACUCCUACGGGAGGCGGCAGUGGGGAAUAUUGCACAAUGGGCGGAAGCCUGAUGCAGCAACGCCGCGUGCGGGAUGACGGCCUUCGGGUUGUAAACCGCUUUCGCCUGUGACGAAGCGUGAGUGACGGUAAUGGGUAAAGAAGCACCGGCUAACUACGUG